AAAUUCGAGUAGCGUAAACUGUUAGUAUUUUUAUAUUUAUCAGUAUACGACGUGCCGUGUUUUGUCUGUAUGACAAUUAUACAUUUAGCCAUCUCCUCACAUUAGUGAAAUAGCUAUAAUAUCGGUGUAUUUCAUAUAAUCGUUGUUUUGCCUUAUUACGGCAUAGUUGUUUUUCAGUAAUUUCAAAGAAAACGGAUCACCAGCUUCUGUCAAAAAGAAAGCCAAUGGAUUUUGCAAAAGAUGGAAAACGCUGUUAAAAUGGUAGAAAGGGGUAAACGGGGUGAAUAGAUACAGAAAAGGGGUGAAUGGAUAUCGGGAAAUUCUUCAUAGUAUCUAUUCACCCUUCGAAUUUUAUACACCCUGUUUUACCCGGUAGGCUGCUGCAGCCAGAUAUAACAUCCAAAGAAGUACGCAUCAUCUAAAGAGUGGUUUCCACUACACGAAAGCUAGGUCGGUCGCUAAAUUGGCUACAGAACAAGAAGUUAUUCUCAUUCGUUUGACUGAUGCUGGGGUGCCGAUGACUUCAAAGAUGUUACUUGGGUAUUACAUGAUGAGAAACUCGUUUAGCCUGAUGUAUAAUGACAAAAAUUAAUUAAUAAGAUCUCAUUACAUUUAUUAUAAGCAUUGACAAAGUUUUGUUAUAAUUAAGAAGUUGAAUACUUACUA